GAUGAACGCUGGCGGCGUGCCUAAUACAUGCAAGUCGAGCGAACGGACGAGAAGCUUGCUUCUCUGAUGUUAGCGGCGGACGGGUGAGUGACACGUGGAUAACCUACCUAUAAGACUGGGAUAACUUCGGGAAACCGGAGCUAAUACCGGAUGAUAUUUUGAACCGCAUGGUUCAAAAGUGAAAGACGGUCUUGCUGUCACUUAUAGAUGGAUCCGCGCUGCAUUAGCUAGUUGGUAAGGUAACGGCUUACCAAGGCAACGAUGCAUAGCCGACCUGAGAGGGUGAUCGGCCACACUGGAACUGAGACACGGUCCAGACUCCUACGGGAGGCAGCAGUAGGGAAUCUUCCGCAAUGGGCGAAAGCCUGACGGAGCAACGCCGCGUGAGUGAUGAAGGUCUUCGGAUCGUAAAACUCUGUUAUUAGGGAAGAACAUAUGUGUAAGUAACUGUGCACAUCUUGACGGUACCUAAUCAGAAAGCCACGGCUAACUACGUGCCAGCAGCCGCGGUAAUACGUAGGUGGCAAGCGUUAUCCGAAUUAUUGGGCGUAAAGCGCGCGUAGCGGUUUUUUAAGUCUGAUGUGAAAGCCCACGGCUCAACCGUGGAGGGUCAUUGGAAACUGGAAAACUUGAGUGCAGAAGAGGAAAGUGGAAUUCCAUGUGUAGCGGUGAAAUGCGCAGAGAUAUGGAGGAACACCAGUGGCGAAGGCGACUUUCUGGUCUGUAACUGACGCUGAUGUGCGAAAGCGUGGGGAUCAAACAGGAUUAGAUACCCUGGUAGUCCACGCCGUAAACGAUGAGUGCUAAGUGUUAGGGGGUUUCCGCCCCUUAGUGCUGCAGCUAACGCAUUAAGCACUCCGCCUGGGGAGUACGACCGCAAGGUUGAAACUCAAAGGAAUUGACGGGGACCCGCACAAGCGGUGGAGCAUGUGGUUUAAUUCGAAGCAACGCGAAGAACCUUACCAAAUCUUGACAUCCUUUGACAACUCUAGAGAUAGAGCCUUCCCCUUCGGGGGACAAAGUGACAGGUGGUGCAUGGUUGUCGUCAGCUCGUGUCGUGAGAUGUUGGGUUAAGUCCCGCAACGAGCGCAACCCUUAAGCUUAGUUGCCAUCAUUAAGUUGGGCACUCUAAGUUGACUGCCGGUGACAAACCGGAGGAAGGUGGGGAUGACGUCAAAUCAUCAUGCCCCUUAUGAUUUGGGCUACACACGUGCUACAAUGGACAAUACAAAGGGCAGCGAAACCGCGAGGUCAAGCAAAUCCCAUAAAGUUGUUCUCAGUUCGGAUUGUAGUCUGCAACUCGACUACAUGAAGCUGGAAUCGCUAGUAAUCGUAGAUCAGCAUGCUACGGUGAAUACGUUCCCGGGUCU
rnacentral:rRNA from 1 species